GACGAACGCUGGCGGCGUGCUUAACACAUGCAAGUCGAACGGAAAGGCCCUGCUUUUGUGGGGUGCUCGAGUGGCGAACGGGUGAGUAACACGUGAGUAACCUGCCCUUGACUUUGGGAUAACUUCAGGAAACUGGGGCUAAUACCGGAUAGGAGCUCCUGCUGCAUGGUGGGGGUUGGAAAGUUUCGGCGGUUGGGGAUGGACUCGCGGCUUAUCAGCUUGUUGGUGGGGUAGUGGCUUACCAAGGCUUUGACGGGUAGCCGGCCUGAGAGGGUGACCGGCCACAUUGGGACUGAGAUACGGCCCAGACUCCUACGGGAGGCAGCAGUGGGAAAUAUUGCACAAUGGGCGGAAGCCUGAUGCAGCAACGCCGCGUGCGGGAUGACGGCCUUCGGGUGGUAAACCGCUUUCGCCUGUGACGAAGCGUGAGUGACGGUAAUGGGUAAAGAAGCACCGGCUAACUACGU
rnacentral:rRNA from 1 species